rnacentral:rRNA from 1 species
CGUGUAGGCGGUUCGGUAAGUGGAAUGUGAAAGCCCCCGGCUCACCCGGGGAACUGCAUCCCAUACUGCUGGACUUGAGUGCGGGAGAGGAUGGAGGAAUUCCUGGUGUAGCGGUGAAAUGCGUAGAUAUCAGGAGGAACACCUGUGGCGAAGGCGUCCAUCUGGCCCGUUACUGACGCUGAUGCGCGAAAGCUAGGGGAGCAAACG